CAUAGAGUGGCGAACGGGUGAGUAACACGUGGGAACGUACCCUACGCAGGGGGAUAACUGACCGAAAGGACAGCUAAUACCGCAUAAGACCGAAAGGUGAAAGGUGCAACUGCACCGGCGAAGGAGCGGCCCGCGGACCAUCAGCUAGUUGGUGGGGUAAGAGCCUACCAAGGCAACGACGGAUAGCCGGCGUGAGAGCGUGGCCGGCCACAAGGACACUGAGAUACGGGUCCUACUCCUACGGGAGGCAGCAGUGCGGAAUUUUAGAUAAUGGAGGCAACUCUGAUCUAGCGACGCCGCGUGCAGGAAGAAGGUCUUCGGAUUGUAAACUGCUGUGGUAAGGGAAAAAUGCCAUGUAGAGUGGAAAGCUACAUGGAGGGAUGGUACUUUACUAGAAAGCCCCGGCUAACUACGUGCCAGC
rnacentral:rRNA from 1 species